rfam:Gossypium hirsutum cultivar TM-1 chromosome 16, whole genome shotgun sequence
UAUUAAAAAUUUAUUUAUUUGUAUUGUUAAAAGUCGGUGUGGUUGAUGGAAAAAUCAGACAAUGACAUAUCAUGUGCUAUGUGUAUCUCAUGUUGACGUACAAUAACUAAUUUUUAACAAUAGAAAUUGAUAAAAAUUUUAAUA